UGGAGGGGGACAAUGUUAUUACAAAAUCCAGCUGUGAGAACAGCGACUCCUGCAAUGGUAACUAGAAAUAAUAUCAGAUUGGGAGGCAUAAGGAAGGAAGACAAGACCGCCAUGCCAGCUUAUUGACAGGUACAGUCACUAUGUCUUCUUGUCUUCUCAGUCCAAAAUCAAAAUACAAGCAUUGACACAUGGUCACUCAUGAACAUGUGGGAUAUCAAUGGUGCUGCCACUGAGAGAAAUGGAAGACCUGGGGAGGAAGGUUGGCUUGGACAGAAAGAUGUUUUUAGUGUGAUCCAUGUGGUUGAAACUGAUGUGGGCCACAGCAUGAUCAGCAAGGCUGGAAGCUAUUCAGGAGCCACUGACCUAGAAGUGGAAACGACAAUAGGGAGGGGAGAGAGAAGGGCCAGGGUGUAGUCGUCAAAGUUUGUGUUUUAAGGAGCCAGCUCAUUUUAUUAAAUUGCAUACAUCAAUAAGUAAUAUCCAGGAAAGAAGAGAACUAGAAACCUCUCCCUGGUGUGGUGUACUCUUAAGCAUGCAAGUUUCUGCUGACUUUGCAUCCUCUCUGCCUUCACAUCAUGGGAAUUCAUGACCAGAAGCCUUCAGCCUGCAACCCUCCGCCCAUCCCAGGGUUUCACCAUAAUUGCUCGGGACUCUCAAACAUCUGUCCAUCAAUCAGCUGCCCAUCAUACUGCUCACCCCUUCCAGUCUCUGGGAAAGCAACUUAUUAUCCAACGUGGAAGGUCUUGUUCUUGAUAAGGUGGUGUCAGGAGAGGCCUGGGGUCAUAGGACCAGACUGCAAACAACACAAUCCCAGAAUAAAUCCUAUUAAUUUGGCAUAAUUGAUGAAAAUGAAGAUUAGAUAUUUGACCAGAGAUGAGAAAUUCACGGGCAUGAAUGCUGCAGCUCUGAUUACUUUGCAUGUGAAUGUGUGAAAGUGCUAGCUUGUGCAAUGAUUUUUCAGAUGAAAUGAAAGCAGGACAAGGCUGUCAGCCCUGAAUACUUGUGACUUUUAGACUAAAGUCCUUGGCAUCAGCCAGCACUGCAGGAUGGAGCAGGUGAGGUUCAGCAACCCUGUGAAGGGAGGCUAGGGUAUUACCUGCACCCUUUAACAGCAGACUGAGUAUAUAAACUCUCACUAGACUGGAAGUGAGUG
rnacentral:lncRNA from 1 species